GAUGAACGCUAGCGGCAGGCCUAAUACAUGCAUGUCGAGGGGUAGUGGAGCUUGUUCCAUGAGACCGGCGCACGGGUGCGUAACGCGUAUGCAACCUACCUUGAUCUGGGGGAUAGCCCGAAGAAAUUCGGAUUAACACCGCAUAAAAUCACAGUACCGCAUGGUACAAUGAUCAAAUAUUUAUAGGAUUGAGAUGGGCA
rnacentral:rRNA from 1 species